UUUAGAAUGGUUUUAGGGAACGAAAGUUUAAUUGACGGUAGCUAAAUACUUUUUGAGAGGAAGUGAUGCCUAUGAAAGUAGGAUUUAAAGUUCGCAUUCUAACGAAAGGAUUAGCACUUAAAAUGACUGUUGCAGAGGCUCUGUCAUUGAUGUUAGCGUUUGGCUCUUUUGUCGCAACGCUCAUCUUUGGUAUCCU
rnacentral:sRNA from 1 species